rnacentral:rRNA from 1 species
CUACGGGGGGCUGCAGUGGGGAAUAUUGCGCAAUGGAGGAAACUCUGAUGCAGCAACGCCGCGUGGAGGAUGACACUUUUCGGGGCGUAAACUCCUUUUAUAUAGGAAGAAGAUGACGGUACUAUAUGAAUAAGCGCCGGCUAACUCCGUGCCAGCAGCCGCGGUAAUACGGAGGGCGCAAGCGUUACUCGGAAUCACUGGGCGUAAAGAGCGUGUAGGCGGAUUAAAAAGUCAGAAGUGAAAUCCUAUAGCUUAACUAUAGAACUGCUUCUGAAACUCUUAAUCUAGAAUAUGGGAGAGGUAGAUGGAAUUUCUGGUGUAGGGGUAAAAUCCGUAGAGAUCAGAAGGAAUACCGAUUGCGAAGGCGAUCUACUAGAACAUUAUUGACGCUGAGACGCGAAAGCGUGGGGAGCAAACAGGAUUAGAUACCCUAGUAGUC